rnacentral:tRNA from 1 species
GCGCCCGUAGCUCAGCUGGAUAGAGUGCCGGAUUCCGGUUCCGUAGGUCGGGGGUUCGAAUCCCUCCGGGCGUGCCA